GAUGAAGAACGCAGCGAAAUGCGAUAAGUAGUGUGAAUUGCAGAAUUCCGUGAAUCAUCGAAUCUUUGAACGCACAUUGCGCCUUCUGGUAUUCCGGAAGGCAUGCCUGUUCGAGAGUCAUUAACAACCGUUUCGAUCCCUUUCUUUCAGAAAUUACAAAGAGGAAAAGGGUUUGGUUAUGGUGGAGGAGGGAAAGGGAGCGUUUAGCCUGUAAAAAAAGAGGCUGUGUUCCGCCUCCCCCCCAAAAUUGUACAGGCGGUCGUGUGCGCCCACGCAUCGAGGUGUUGUAAAAGCUGCCACGGCACUUUUCACCUGUGCAGUGCGAGAUUGGCCAGCCGGUUUAAAAACCCCUCCAAUCAAUCAAAGGUUGACCUCGGAUCAGGUAGGGAUACCCGCUGAACUUAAGCAUAUCAAUAAGCGGAGGA
rnacentral:misc_RNA from 1 species